rnacentral:rRNA from 1 species
AUUGAACGCUGGCGGCAGGCCUAACACAUGCAAGUCGAGCGGAUGAAGGGAGCUUGCUCCUGGAUUCAGCGGCGGACGGGUGAGUAAUGCCUAGGAAUCUGCCUGGUAGUGGGGGAUAACGUCCGGAAACGGGCGCUAAUACCGCAUACGUCCUGAGGGAGAAAGUGGGGGAUCUUCGGACCUCACGCCAUCAGAUGAGCCUAGGUCGGAUUAGCUAGUUGGUGGGGUAAAGGCCUACCAAGGCGACGAUCCGUAACCGGUCUGAGAGGAUGAUCAGUCACACUGGAACUGAGACACGGUCCAGACUCCUACGGGAGGCAGCAGUGGGGAAUAUUGGACAAUGGGCGAAAGCCUGAUCCAGCCAUGCCGCGUGUGUGAAGAAGGUCUUCGGAUUGUAAAGCACUUUAAGUUGGGAGGAAGGGCAGUAAGUUAAUACCUUGCUGUUUUGACGUUACCAACAGAAUAAGCACCGGCUAACUUCGUG